rnacentral:rRNA from 1 species
UCGAACGUGAAAGACCUUCGGGUCGAGUAAAGUGGCGCACGGGUGAGUAACGCGUAGAUAAUCUGCCCCGCUGUCUGGGAUAACCUUUCGAAAGGAAGGCUAAUACCGGAUAAUACGAUUUCUUUCAAGGGAGUCGUUGAAAGUUGCGGCGCAACGGGAUGAGUCUGCGUCCCAUUAGCUAGUUGGUGGGGUAAAAGCCUACCAAGGCGACGAUGGGUAGCGGGUUUGAGAGGACGAUCCGCCACACUGGAACUGAGACACGGUCCAGACUCCUACGGGAGGCAGCAGUAGGGAAUUUUGCGCGAUGGGCGAAAGCCUGACGCAGCAAUGCCGCGUGAGUGAAGAAGGCCUUCGGGUCGUAAAGCUCUUUAUCUUCGGGAAGAUGAUGACGGUACCGAAGGAAGAAGCACCGGCUAACUACGUGCCAGCAGCCGCGGUAAUACGUAGGGUGCAAGCGUUGUUCGGAAUCACUGGGCGUAAAGGGCGUGUAGGCGGAACGAUUAGCGAGGGGUGAAAUCCCGGGGCUCACCCCGGAACUGCUCUUCGAACUGUCGAUCUAAANAAGGUCAGGGNCCGGCGGAAUUCCUGGAACAUCGNGGCNAAGGC